CCGCAUAAGGCUUUCUCCCCACUAUAGUUGGAGUUCAAGAGCGUAAGGAAGGUAAUCUGUUGAUCAAUUACUGUUGCUUGUCACAAAACUCUGAAAAAUAUUACUGAGUACAUCGACAACGAGCUAUGCUUGCCAUUUAAAAAAAUAUGCUUAUGUGAGCUGCGUGUCAUAUCAAUUUUUUUAUGCAAGAAGAUCUUGCGAUUUACUUAUGAUUUAUGAACAGAAAUUGUUUACUGCGUAACCCCUAAAUACAGUAGAAGAGAAACAAAUCUUAUAAAACUAUGCUGAGACGAGUAGUACUUAUUUAGUCAAGUGACAUGUUAGAUAAAAUUCCACACCUAUUACAACUUAUCUGACUUCUGUAUUUUUUAAUGAUAGCUGAACUAGAUUGUGUUCCAGGAAUACAAAACCAUGGAUUGUUUCCAUUUAUUCACUUGGCUAUUGGAAUUUGAUUGAUGUCCCCUUCUCCUAUUAUUAACAACAUAUACCUACACGGUUCUGUCUGCUGGUUUGCCAAAUUCUAGACACUUCUUUUGUGGUUCGUGCUUCCGCUUUAUACCAUGCUUGCCUACAUCCGUAGUGUCACUCCUUUAUUCUCUUGAUGUGCUUUUCCUUUACAAGGAAGAAUACACACCAUGAGGAAAAGAGAAGUAAAAUUGUAGCAUAUGGCAACUUUAUAAAUACUAACAUGUUUCUGAUUCAUCAUGAGGUCAUGUACUGAUGGAUUGCAAAAAGAAAAAGAAAAAUAAUGUCAAUUGUUUCUAUAUCACUUUAAUUGGCAUGGUCCAUCUGUAGUGUCGUUCAAUUAUUAGACCACAUUCAAUAUUAUUUUUUGGAUGCCUGCAACUUCCAACUAAAUAGAUCGCCGUAUCGAUAUCUGAUUUGUAUUUGUAGUCUACAAACAAGACAUCCUAAUUAUUUGUUCGAACAUACUACAGUCUUGUUUUCUCUGCCGUGUCAUCUCCUUUUCUUAAUAAUAGUGUCACUGCCUUUGAUUUAUCUGCUCAGAUGUGCUAUUUAGAGUUUGAUCUGGAUAUAUACUAGCUAUUUUAUUAGGAGUUGGUGGUAAAGAUGAACUAAUGGUUGAUCCGCCCUGCUGUCCAUGCUGUACUUCAUGCAAAAUCAUUGGGUCGGUACUGGGAGUACUUCAUUUAUGAUAGAUCUUAUGCUUCAAAGCUUCUUUUUAUUGUCUAAUAUGUUUUAUUUGCACUAAUUUGGCAAAUUUAUUUUAUCUUUUGGCUUAAUAUGUCCCAGGUAUUGAUAUAGUAAUAUUUUUUUACUUGGUUAAUGGUCAAACAUACUGCUUCAGUAUCUUCCGGUAGGUGCCUCAGAAUUAUGCAGUUGAUCAUACCAUACUGCUACUUGAAUAAAAAUGUCUAUCUUUGUGUUCUACAUUGAAGCUAUCAUAUGAAGUUUAAUUAUUUUCAGCGUCCAUCACCAAAACUACUUUGUUUGUAGUAAAAGGCUUCAUAGAAUUUCAUAGAUGUUGCACAUCAUGAGAUUAACCUGUAGAUGUAUUCAUAACCAUAUAGUAGAGGGGAAGAUGCAAACACGACAUGUCUUGGCCUCUCAACCUUUUCUGUUAUAUGGCACGUUUCUAUUAAUUAUUUUGCUUGACAUGAUUCUUUCAAUGGUAACUUUGAUUUUCUCUAACAGGUAGGAACAAAAGUAUUUUUAAUGAGCCUAAAAAAUCGUAACACAUGUAGCUCUUGCUACAGUUGUAAGUUGUGAUCCUAAAUUUGAACUUGAUGGUGCUGAAAUUACUAAUGAAUUCUGGGUAGUGCAUGUUGAUAUGGCACUUGUGAAAACUGAAGAUUGGGUACGGAGUCGCAAAAACUGCAAUACUCUUGGUAAUGCAGAUUUGUUUUUGCAUCUCAACCUUUGUAAGUGAGUAAUAUCCUCCCUCUAUGACUACUUGCAUCAUGUCAAUGCAUUGUGUGUGUUAACAGUUCAUUUUGUUUUUUUGUUUGUAGAUUCAAAAGAUAAAUGGAUGAUUCUAUUGGUGUGUGUGGCAAGUAUACUACAAGGAUGAUGAUGAUGAUGUUCCUGUUCAUGAUGAUGAAGACGGAUGGUGUCAGUUUUAAUUAAGUUGUAGGGAUGAUGUUCCUCGAUUGUGUUUUAGUUACGUUGUAGGGAUGUUUAUGGAUGCUUUCAAUUUAAGUUUCGCCGUCAAGAAACAUUUAGAUUAUACUUCCAUUUGGAUGAUUUUUCUUGUGUAAUAUGCACUAUUGUAAUCCAACAGUUUUAUUUAAUAUAUGAUUUCUUCCUCCCGUGAGUAUAUUCUCUUGUUUGUCUUUACUGGAAAUUCAUAUCACCAUUAUGUAAAGCACUAAUUUAAUUGCUGGAAAUAUGUAUAAAAAAUAUUAUUCAUAUUAUAUAUGAACCACGUUGCAAAUUCUUUGUUGCCAAGCCCUGGAACUUUGUUUCCUAUACAAUAAGCACCAACACAUAGAAGUGUUGCACAAG
rnacentral:lncRNA from 1 species